AGUGAACGCUGGCGGUAGGCCUAACACAUGCAAGUCGAACGGCAGCACAGUAAGAGCUUGCUCUUACGGGUGGCGAGUGGCGGACGGGUGAGGAAUACAUCGGAAUCUACUUUUUCGUGGGGGAUAACGUAGGGAAACUUACGCUAAUACCGCAUACGACCUACGGGUGAAAGCAGGGGAUCUUCGGACCUUGCGCGAUUGAAUGAGCCGAUGUCGGAUUAGCUAGUUGGCGGGGUAAAGGCCCACCAAGGCGACGAUCCGUAGCUGGUCUGAGAGGAUGACACGCCCCCCUGGACCUGGGACACGGUCCAGACCCCUCGGGGGGGCAGCGGUGGGGAUUAUUGGACAAUGGGCGCAGGCCUGAUCCACCCAUCCCGCGUGGGUGAGGAAGCCCUUCGGGUUGUAAAGCCCUUUUGUUGGGAAAGAAAAGCAGCAGGUUAAUACCCCGCUGUUCUGACGGUACCCAAAGAAUAAGCACCGGCUAACUUCGUG
rnacentral:rRNA from 1 species